GCCUACGGGGGGCAGCAGUGGGGAAUAUUGGACAAUGGGGGAAACCCUGAUCCAGCGACGCCGCGUGAGUGAAGAAGUAUUUCGGUACGUAAAGCUCUAUCAGCAGGAAAGAAAAUGACGGUACCUGACUAAGAAGCCCCGGCUAACUACGUGCCAGCAGCCGCGGUAAUACGUAGGGGGCAAGCGUUAUCCGGAUUUACUGGGUGUAAAGGGAGCGCAGGCGGCGCGGUAAGUCUGAUGUGAAAGCCCGGGGCUCAACCCCGGGACUGCAUUGGAAACUGUCGUGCUGGAGUGUCGGAGGGGCA
rnacentral:rRNA from 1 species